rnacentral:rRNA from 1 species
GCGAUAGCGAAGAGGUCACACCCGUUCCCAUACCGAACACGGAAGUUAAGCUCUUCAGCGCCGAUGGUAGUUGGGGGUUUCCCCCUGUGAGAGUAGGACGC